rnacentral:rRNA from 1 species
AUUGAACGCCGGCGGAAUGCUUUACACAUGCAAGUCGAACGGCAGCACGGACUUCGGUCUGGUGGCGAGUGGCGAACGGGUGAGUAAUGUAUCGGAACGUGCCCAGUCGUGGGGGAUAACGUAGUGAAAAUUACGCUAAUACCGCAUACGAUCUAUGGAUGAAAGCGGGGGAUCGCAAGACCUCGCGCGAUUGGAGCGGCCGAUAUCAGAUUAGGUAGUUGGUGGGGUAAAGGCCCACCAAGCCAACGAUCUGUAGCUGGUCUGAGAGGACGACCAGCAACACUGGAACUGAUACACGGUCCAGACUCCUACGGGAGGCAGCAGUGGGGAAUUUUGGACAAUGGGCGAAAGCCUGAUCCAGCCAUUCCGCGUGCAGGAUGAAGGCCCUCGGGUUGUAAACUGCUUUUGUACAGAACGAAAAGGUUUCUACUAAUACUAGGAGCUCAUGACGGUACUGUAAGAAUAAGCACCGGCUAACUACGUGCCAGCCGCCGCAGUAA